CAGUCCCUUAAUGGUGUGACUGGUCCCUUACUGGUCCCUUACCGGUGUGACCGGUCCCUUCCCAGUCCCUUACUGGUGUGACCAGUCCCUCCCAGUCCCUUACUGGUCCCCUCCCAGUCCCUUACUGGUGUGAACAGUCCCUUACUGUUGUGACCAGUCCCUCCCAGUCCCAUACUGGUCCCCUCCCAGUCCCGUACUGGCCCCUUACUGGUGUGACCAGUCCCUCCCAGUCCCGUACUGGCCCCUUACUGGUGUGACCAGUCCCUCCCAGUCCCUUACUGGUCCCCUCCCAGUCCCUUACUGGUGUGCCAGGUGCCUCCCAGUCCCAUACUGGUCCCUUACUGGUGUGCCGGGUGCCUCCCAGUCCCAUACUGGUCCCUUACUGGUGUGAUCGGUCCCUCCCAGUCCCUACUGUGUGACUGGUCCUUCACUGGUCCCUCCCAGUCCCUUACUGGUGUGACCGGUCCCUUACUGGUGUGACCAGUCCCUCCCUGACCCCUUACUGGUGUGACUGGUCCCUCACUGGUCCCUCCCUGGCCCCUUACUGGUGUGACCAG
rnacentral:lncRNA from 7 species